rnacentral:tRNA from 1 species
AACAAACUAAAAAUUUAGGGUUAUAUUUCGGCUGUAAUUUUGCAAUUUGUUUGCUG